CAUGAACUUCAGCAAACCUUCCUCAGAGGAUGCCCGCCUCUAAUUCAAGACACCAGCCGGAAAGGGCAGGGCCAUCUGAGCCAUCUUCAUUGUUCCGGAUUAGGUUGUCCCAGCCUGUGGCCAGAGAGGUUCUGGGAGGGCCACCUGACCAGCAGCUCGCAGCCACUGAGCUGUAAGGUAAGACUUGCAUGUUUGGUCAUCAUCAGUGAAGCACAGAAACAACCUUUGAGAGAGCUAACAAAGCAAGUCUUCAUGGGGACAGGCUGCACAAUGCAGCGUCAGAAGCAAUUCUGGGACCAAUACUAAACAGUUGGUGUUAGGGAACUGCAGGGCCCAAAGACCUGUAUUGUUUCAAUACAGACUGGCCCUAAAGAGCUGUAUCAUCAUGGGUAAUAAGGUAUUACUACCUCAACCUGUGGUGAAAGAUACAAAAAUUCACCAGGACCUGCACAUUUGACAGUUAAGAACACAAGGGGAUGGCUCCUGGACUUGAGCAGGAAAGAUGGUGUCUGGAAGUUAUGAAGAUUCUUCAUGCACUGAUUGGACUGUGAAGAAAGAUAUAAGUGCUUCUUCUUUAUCCAUUUGUCAAAAUCCUCAUCACUAA